UACGGGGGGGGCAAGCGUUGUUCGGAAUUACUGGGCGUAAAGGGCUCGUAGGCGGCCCACUAAGUCGGAUGUGAAAUCCCCAGGCUUAACCUGGGAACUGCAUCCGAUACUGGAUGGCUUGAAUCCGGGAGAGGGAUGCAGAAUUCCAGGUGUAGCGGUGAAAUGCGUAGAUAUCUGGAGGAAUACCGGUGGCGAAGGCGGCAUCCUGGACCGGCAUUGACGCUGAGGCGCGAAAGCCAGGGGAGCAAACGGG
rnacentral:rRNA from 1 species